rnacentral:rRNA from 1 species
CCUACGGGUGGCAGCAGUGAGGAAUAUUGGUCAAUGGACGCAAGUCUGAACCAGCCAUGCCGCGUGCAGGAUGACGGCUCUAUGAGUUGUAAACUGCUUUUGUACGGGGGUAAAAUCAGAUACGUGUGUCUUCUUGAAAGUAACGUACGAAUAAGGAUCGGCUAACUCCGUGCCAGCAGCCGCGGUAAUACGGAGGAUCCAAGCGUUAUCCGGAUUUAUUGGGUUUAAAGGGUGCGUAGGCGGUUUGAUAAGUUAGAUGUGAAAGUUCGGGGCUCAACCCCGGAAUUGCCAUUGAUACUGGCGGGCUAGAGUAUAGUUGCGGUAGGCGGAAUGUAGGGUGUAGCGGUGAAAUGCAUAGAGAUCAUACAGAACACCGAUUGCGAAGGCAGCUUACCAAACUACGACUGACGUUGAGGCACGAAAGCGUGGGGAGCAAACAGGAUUAGAUACCCCGGUAGUC